GCCGCGGCGGGGACUGGGUUUGCUGGAAACGCACCAGGAGGCUUUUCUCAAAAACAGCAAAAUAGGCAACAUCGCUGUUGUCACUGGAGUUCGCAAAACUGAAAUCCUGUCAAGAUGGCUUUUUUAUUGAAUGUAUUGGGGCGCCAUUGGUUAAAAUUACAUAGAUUUCAGAGUCACAGACUGUCAACAGUGAAGACGGGGGCCCCCAGAGACGGUCAGUCCGGCCCCUUCACUUCGCAGGGAAGACGGGAGCUGGUGUGCUCGCUUCGCAGCACAUGUACUAAAAUUGGAACGAUCCAGAGAAGAUGAGCAUGGCCCCUGCACAAGGAUGACAUGCAAAUUCGGGAAGCGUUCCAUAUUAAAAAAAAAAAAAAAAAAAAAAGAUGGGAGCGGGAAGCUUCAGAAAAACACAUUUGCUGGCCUUCAAAGUACCUUGGGGCACUUCUUCCUAUUUUAGAGAUUAGCUGUGACCAGACAUGUCCCCUCUGGCAGAGGCUUUCUUUGGCUGCUGCCUUCUCUGAAAUCACUGUGGUUAGCUCUGCCUGCCGCCCUGGGGCCCCUUCCCCCGGGCUGUCCUCACCAGCCUUUUUUCUCUGUGGAUGAAAAGGGACCACAUACUGAACCUGACAAGCUCAGGGAAGGCCUGCAUGUGGGUCUUGCAAACUCGGAGACCUAAAGUAACCACAAAGGAUGGUCUGAAAUGAAAACUCUUGAACUAAAAGCUGUUUAUGGCAGGUAGUCAUGUCCUAGGCUAGACUCUACCCCGGCAAAGGUCAUCUGCACCUUAACUAAGCCUGUCUAUUGUCUUUUGUAUCUACAAUAACAUUCCUCUGGAAUGUCUAGACCCCUUUUUCUAGACUCCUCAGGGCAGAACCAGUGCACCAAGGCAGAGAGCUCUCACUGUUAUUGUUGCCGUGUUAAUUACUGACUGUUAACUAUCCUGUACUCACCCAUGUAAAAGAAA